AACGCGAAGAACCUUACCUGGAUUUGACAUCCCAUUGAAUGUUUUUAGAGAUAGAAACAGGCUAGCAAUAGACAGUGGAGACAGGUGCUGCAUGGCUGUCGUCAGCUCGUGUUGUGAAAUGUUGGGUUAAGUCCCGCAACGAGCGCAACCCCUGCCUUUGGUUGCUAACAUUUAAGGUGAGCACUCCAGAGGGACUGCCGUCGUCAAGACGGAGGAAGGUGGGGAUGACGUCAAGUCCUCAUGGCCUUUAUAUCCAGGGCGACACACGUGAUACAAUGGUAGGUACAAAGGGUAGCGAAGUGGUGACACGGAGCCAAUCCCAAAAAACCUAUCUCAGUUCGGAUUGGAGUCUGCAACUCGACUCUAUGAAGUUGGAAUCGCUAGUAAUCGCGGAUCAGAACGCCGCGGUGAAUACGUUCCCGGGCCUUGUACACACCGUACGUC
rnacentral:rRNA from 1 species